GCCUAAAGCGUCCGUAGCCGGCUCUGUUAGUUUUCGGUUAAAUCCACAUGCUCAACAUAUGGGCCGCCGGGAAUACUACAAAGCUAGGGAGUGGGAGAGGUAGACGGUACUCCGUAGGAAGGGGUAAAAUCCUUUGAUCUAUGGAUGACCACCAGUGGCGAAGGCGGUCUACCAGAACACGUUCGACGGUGAGGGAUGAAAGCUGGGGGAGCAAACCGGAUUAGAUACCCGGGUAGUCCCAGCUGUAAACUAUGCAAACUCAGUGAUGCAUUGGCUUGUGGCCAGUGCAGUGCCGCAGAGAAGUCGUUAAGUUUGCCGCCUGGGAAGUACGUACGCAAGUAUGAAACUUAAAGGAAUUGGCGGGGGAGCACCACAAGGGGUGAAGCCUGCGGUUCAAUUGGAGUCAACGCCAGAAAUCUUACCCGGAGAGACAGCAGGAUGAAGGUCAAGUUGAAGCCUUUACCAGACAAGCUGAGAAGUGGUGCAUGGCCGUCGCCAGCUCGUGCCGUGAGGUGUCCUGUUAAGUCAGGUAACGAGCGAGAUCCUUGCCUCUAGUUGCCACCAUUACUCUCAGGAGUAGUGGGGCGAAUUAGCGGGACUGCCGUAGUUAAUACGGAGGAAGGAGAGGGCCACGGCAGGUCAGUAUGCCCCGAA
rnacentral:rRNA from 1 species